GGAGAGAUACCCAAGCUGGCUGAAGGGGACGGUUUGCUAAACCGUUAGUAGGAGUUAAGCCUCCUAGCGAGGGUUCGAAUCCCUCUCUCUCCGCCA
rnacentral:tRNA from 1 species